rnacentral:rRNA from 1 species
UUUAAGGUCUAACCUGCCCAAUGAGGAUUUUAAUGGCCGCAGUAUUUUGACUGUGCAAAGGUAGCGUAAUUAUUAGUUUUUUAAUUGUAAGCUUGUAUGAAAGGUUGGACGAAAUAAAAUCUGUCUUUAUUUAAUUUAGAGUAAAAUUUAACUUUUAAGUAAAAAGGCUUAAAUUUUUAUAAAAGACGAGAAGACCCUAUAGAUCUUUAUUUGAUUUAGGAUUUUAAUAAUUUAAGAUUAUUUUAAUUUAGAGUUUUAAUUAAAUUUUAUUGGGGUAAUAUAAAGAUUAAAUUAAUUCUUUUUAUUAAUUACAUUGAUUUAUGAAUAUAUGAUCCAUUAAUAUUGAUUGUAAGAUUAAGUUACCUUAGGGAUAACAGCGUAAUUUUUUUGGAGAGCUCAUAUCGAUAAAAAAGUUUGCGACCUCGAUGUUGGAUUAAAAAUUAGCUUGGGUGUAGAAGUUCAAGAUUUUGGUCUGUUCGACCAUUAAAUUUUUACAUGAUCUGAGUUCAAACCGGCGUGAGCCAGGUCGGUUUCUAUCUUUAUUUAAUUAUAAUAUUUUAGUACGAAAGGACCAAAUAUUUAAUAUAUUAAUUAUUUAAGUUUGAAUAAUAUUAUUACUUUGGCAGAUUAGUGCAAUGAAUUUAGAAUUCAUAAAUGUAGAUUUUUACAAGUAAUACUUGUAUUUAGGUGAUUUAUUGUUAAUAAUUUUAUGUAUAUUAAUUUUAAUUAUUUGUGUAUUAGUAGGGGUAGCAUUUUUGACAUUGUUAGAACGAAAGGUGUUGGGUUAUAUUCAAAUUCGUAAGGGGCCAAAUAAGGUGGGAUUU